ACCGUGUGCUUACAAGUAGUCAGAGCCCGUUAAUGGGUGAUGGCGUGCCUUUUGUAGAAUGAACCGGCGAGUUACGAUUUGAUGCAAGGUUAAGCAGUAAAUGUGGAGCCGUAGCGAAAGCGAGUCUGAAUAGGGCGUUUAGUAUUUGGUCGUAGACCCGAAACCAGGUGAUCUACCCUUGGUCAGGUUGAAGUUCAGGUAACACUGAAUGGAGGACCGAACCGACUUACGUUGAAAAGUGAGCGGAUGAACUGAGGGUAGCGGAGAAAUUCCAAUCGAACCUGGAGAUAGCUGGUUCUCUCCGAAAUAGCUUUAGGGCUAGCCUCAAGUGAUGAUUAUUGGAGGUAGAGCACUGUUUGGACGAGGGGCCCCUCUCGGGUUACCGAAUUCAGACAAACUCCGAAUGCCAAUUAAUUUAACUUGGGAGUCAGAACAUGGGUGAUAAGGUCCGUGUUCGAAAGGGAAACAGCCCAGACCACCAGCUAAGGUCCCAAAAUAUAUGUUAAGUGG
rnacentral:rRNA from 1 species